rnacentral:RNase_P_RNA from 1 species
GAGAGAGGCUGGGCGGCUGCCGGACCUUCUGGUCUGAGGAAAGUCUCCCCACCGUUCCGGACACACGAACAUCUGUAAAGGAUGUCGGGCGAGAGCCCGGGCCCUGGCACAGAAACGAUAACCAUCCCCUGCAAAUGCGAUGAUGCCAUAAGCUGAGGUCACAGGGAGAGUGGAUGAAACGGCGAAUCCUCGUGGGUGCAAGUUGGAAAUCGGGAAUAACGAGCAGUUCGGAAUCGCCCGAUUGGUUUUGGUAACGCUUAGCCGAAUGCCGUCGAUGCAAGAGUCCUCAGGGACCAUUUCUUCCACUGAUGAGGUGGCAGGAAUUUUUGCAUGAACAGAAGGGAGCUUACACGCCUCACUC